ACGUAGGUGGCAAGCGUUAUCCGGAUUUACUGGGCGUAAAGCAUGUGCAGACGGGUUGGUAAGUGGUGUAUGAAAGCGUGCGGCUUAACCGGGCAAGCGUAGGCCAGACUGCCAGUCUUGAGAGUGGGAGAGGGAUGUGGAAUUCCGGGUGUAGUGGUGAAAUGCGUAGAGAUCCGGAGGAACCCCAGAGGCGAAGGCGGCGUCCUGGCCCAUUUCUGACGUUCAGACAUGACAGCAUGGGGAGCGAACGGGA
rnacentral:rRNA from 1 species